CUGUUACACUUAUUUAGUUAAACAAGUCCACAAAUUUUGAAUCGAUAAUGUGGACUGUCUCCUCGGCUCUCGUUCUGUUCUUCACCAUCAUCACAAGCUUCUUCUCCACUCUAACAACAUCCGCUUCACCAGCUCUCCAUCCAGAUGAAUGUACUCAAUGAAAAUCUUGGUCCUUAUAAUAUCAAAGGUCAGUAUCCAUAACUUUUUUCGUAUAUAAUUUCUAUAAUUUUUGCAGUGAAAGCGCUUGGGGAGAUAGCUUCUACACUUGGAAUCAAGAGACUGAACCUAAGUGAUGGAGAUCCUUGUCUUUUAAAAACUCUAAAAAUUGGUCUUGUUUCUAAUUCGGAUUCGGAUAUGGAAAAUAUCGUUGCUUGUGAUUGUAGUUUCAACAACAACAUGACAUGUCAUAUUAUAGAACUGGAAACUCCCGCCUGAGUUGGCCAAACUUCAGCAUCUCCAGAAGAUAAACUUGUGCCGAAACUACCUUUCUGGCUCAAUCCCAAUGGAGUGGGCUUCAUUGCCAAACCUCACUUACAUGUCGUUCUGCGCGAAUCGUUUG